rnacentral:rRNA from 1 species
CUCUCCCUACGGGACGCAGCAGUGGGGAAUAUUGCACAAUGGGCGAAAGCCUGAUGCAGCGACGCCGCGUGAGUGAAGAAGUAUUUCGGUAUGUAAAGCUCUAUCAGCAGGGAAGAAAAUGACGGUACCUGACUAAGAAGCCCCGGCUAACUACGUGCCAGCAGCCGCGGUAAUACGUAGGUGACAAGCGUUGUCCGGAUUUACUGGGUGUAAAGGGCGCGUAGGCGGACUGUCAAGUCAGUCGUGAAAUACCGGGGCUUAACCCCGGGGCUGCGAUUGAAACUGACAGCCUUGAGUAUCGGAGG